UACGUAGGGUGCGAGCGUUAAUCGGAAUUACUGGGCGUAAAGCGUGCGCAGGCGGUUUUGUAAGUCUGUCGUGAAAGCCCCGGGCUCAACCUGGGAAUUGCGAUGGAGACUGCAAGGCUAGAAUCUGGCAGAGGGGGGUAGAAUUCCACGUGUGAGCAGUGAAAUGCGUAGAGAUAGUGGAGGAACACCGAUGGCGAAGGCAGCCCCCUGGGUCAAGAUUGACGCUCAUGCACGUAAAGCGUGGGGAGCAAAC
rnacentral:rRNA from 1 species